rnacentral:lncRNA from 1 species
CUGGCUUUUGUCCCCUUGGCCUUUUCAUUUCAAAACUCAAUUUUCUUAACUCAAAACAUGCAAACAUGAUAAAAAACACUUAAAAAACAUCUUAAAAACCUUUCUUAUACCCUUAGGGCAAGCUCCGACAUCCUCGAAUCCCGACUUCCAACGGAAAAUCCGCCGGAACGUAGGAAUUCCGAUACCGGGGUCUAGCCGGGUAUUACA